rnacentral:lncRNA from 1 species
UUUUUCUUUCCUCAAAAAACCAGCUUUGCCAACGUUUUUUUUUUAAAUGCUGAAAACAAGAACUGGAAACAGAGAAAAAAGUAAAAUAAAAUAUGUUUUCAGUGAGGGUGAUUAUUAGGUUUAUGUUCAUGCCUGCUGCUAAAUAAUUAGGUUUUUUUCUAGAUUGAUUUCAUUUGUCAAUUUUGUUUGCGUUGAAAUUUAUUUAGCAGCAGUAAGUGCAAAUGUGUAAGAAAUUUUGAAAUUUUUAGCACUUACAAUUUUAUGCACUGUAAAAUAUUAUUAUUAAAUCAACUUAAUUUAGUUUUAUAAUUCUGUUUGGGUACUGAUUUUUUUAUUUUUUUUAACUGUUUUGAUUUUUGAAUUUCUUCGUCUUUAGUAAAUUUUUUAAUCGUUUAAUUAAAAUUUUAUAUUUUUCGGUUUCUCUCCAGAGAAGUCCGAAAAUUUAAGAAUUUGCAUCUAAUUUAGAAAAAAAAAACUCAUCAAAAAGAGGAAAAAACACACACUUCACAAGCGGUGAAAAAAGUUCACGAAAGAACUAAAAAAAAUUCAAAAACACUUGCUCCAAAUGGGUAUGGAUUUAAGUAUUGGGUUAUCAAGGAUAAGAAUCAAAUUGCUGACCCUGGUGACAGUUGGGAUAAAAAUCUGUGGUUGAUGAUGACAGUUGAAUUGAUUUUGAAAACUAAUGGGUCUCUUAUUAAUUAUCAAAAAAAAAUCUCUAAUUACAAAAGGCCCACCAUAUAUGCAAAUCACUUGAAUACGCUCACUUGGGCAUAUGAUAACAAAUCAGAUUCUGUUGAUUGCGUUGUAUUUGUUCGACACUAUUCUACCGAGCAAAAUCGAGGCCGAACUAUAGACAAUUGUUCGAUUCUAGGUCGCCAAUGGCAGAUAUCUGUGCUGCGAUAGUGGCGAGAUCUGUGGUGAUUUUUGCGAUUUGGAUCGUCAUGGUGGUGUGAGAUGCAGUGGUGUUCGCAGUCAGAGACAGCCUCAGGUUGCGCUCGUUGUACGCCGGAGGAGGAAGGGUUAGGGUUUGAAAUGUUGAAGAUUAGGGUAAUCCUAGGUUUAAGAAAAUGGGUAAAAAAAAUUAAAUUUAAGAAUAGUGAUUUUUCUGCCACCCUUUUUUUAAUAAAGUAUAUCCUAUUUUUUGCACUUAUAUGUAAUUAAAAUAUUUAAACAAAAAAUAUUUUUGAAAAUAUAGGGUAAGGUAAUGUUUUUAUUAUGAAAAAUUAUAAGAAAAAAUCCCCUUAAUAAUUUGUUCUCAAAUUACCCAAAAUGUCACUCCUUAGUUCGUUAUUUUUGCGAUUUGGAUCGUCGUGGUGGUGGUGUGAGAUGCAGUGGUGUUUGCAGUCAGAGACAACUUCUGAUCACGCGUCGUACGCCGGAGGAGGAAGGAUUAGGGUUUGAAAUGUUGAAGAUUAGGGUAAUCCUAGGUUUAAGAAAAUGGGUAAAAAAAUUUAAUUUAAGAAUCGUGAUUUUUCUGGCACCCAUUUUUUAAUAAAGCAUAUCCUAUUUUUUGCACUUCUAUGUAAUUAAAAUAUUUAAACAAAAAAUAUUUUUGAAAAUAUAGGGUAAUGUUUUUAUUAUGCAAAAUUACAAGAAAAUCCUUAAUAAUUUUGUCAAAUUACCAAAACUGUCACUCCCUUAAUUCGUUUAAGGUUCAGGUUUUUUUUUUCAAUUAUAUUUUUAUUUAAAACUUCAAAUGAUACAGACUACAAGUUGAGCGUAUUUUAUGAAAAUUACUCCCCAUUUUUACCCUUAAAAUUUAAUAAAAUAGAGACCCCUUAAAUUUAGGAAUUAUUUUUUGACUACCUACUUUAAUAAUACUCCUUAUUUUUUUUCUCUAUUUUAAUAAAUUAUAAUUUUUUAAAACUCAAAUAUCCAUAUCCCAAAACAAAUACCCACAAAUCUCACCAUCACCCACACGAAGCUCGACCAACCUAGAGAGAGAGAAAUGGCCAAUCGACUACCUUCUUCACAUCUGGUUGAUCAGUUUGCCCAACUACCACCACCGCAAGAGAGAGGGGCUCACAUUUGCCCAAAUCAACCCACCAUGAGCACCAUCCUCGUCGAUCUACCCUCGCCUGAACUUAGCCACAAGAAAGGAGAAAGAAUGAGAGAAAUCAUUUUUUUUUUUUUACUUAUGGGGGGUGAAUUGUGGGGAGGAAAUUGCUUAACAUCCUAUUUUGUUUUUUCGGGCAUUUUUUAUGAUGGUGGUGUGAACUGUGGGGAGGAACGGUAACAUUCCCUAUUUAGGGGUAUUUUUUUAAUUAUGGGGUGUGAACUGUGGGGAGGAACGGUAACAUUUCCUAUUUGGGGGGGUGACCUAAUAAGGGAUCCGUUGGAGAAGAAUUUUGAAGGAAGACUCCCCAUUUUUGUGCAAAACUAGAGAUGGGGAAUUGAUGGGAGUUGCUAUCAGACAAGCCCCCAAAAAUGUCAUAAUUAAUAAAUUCACCCCUUCAACAAUUUAUAAAAUCACGAAAUAGACUCAAUAAAUUCGCGAGUUUAACUUGAAUUUGGGAGACAAAUUCACAUAUUCUUGAUUUCAUAGCAAAAGUGUCGUGGCAUUUGUGCAAUUUUUGUGACUGUGAAAAAGGCAAACUAAAAUAUUUAUAAAUGCACAACUAAGUCUUCCAUAUUUUACUUGCUGGGUUGGAGGAGAGCUUGAAGUGUCUACAUAUAUAAUCUAUUAGAUCUCUUCUUCCUUCAUUAUAUUAUUACUAGUAAUUAUCUGUGUCUACAUGCACUAUACUAAAAAAGAAAAGACAAUCUCUUAGAUAUAAACGUCAAAUAAGAGAUAUAUUAUAUACAUAUACGAAAAAAUAUAUUACUAUAAAAUAAAAAAUAAAUUAGAAAAUGUAAUAAUUUUAAAAAAAUAUUGCUAAUUUUAUAGAAAUAAAGGAUAAAAAAUAGGUAUUUUAAUUUGUUUUUUGUGAGUCCCACUAAAAAAAUUAAUUAAAUGGAUAAAAAAUUGCUCAGUUGUAGAGAUUUUUUGUUCAUUGGAUCACAACUUAUGUAGACCCUACACAUUUGAUAAUAAGGAAGUGAUAUUUUGGGAGGAAAAAACGGUCUUGUGUAAAAUCUCAGUCAUUGAAUUGACUCGAAUGAAUUCCCAUUAUAAAUAGUGAGAGAUAAUUUAAAAAAUUUAAAAAUAUUUGUAUCUUAUAUUAUAUAUACAAUGCUCAUAACGUAAAUGAAUCGUCAAUUAUUCAUUGUAUUAAAUGAGUCGUGAAUCAAGCCUAUGCGUACUUAUGUCUUCCGUGUUCUUCACAAUCAUGCAAAAACCUCAUUUUAUAUUAAAUCCCGCUAUGUGUCUUUCUUUACUCAACCUUCGCUCUAGUUUCAAAGGAGAAUAUUACUACUGUACUCGUUGGAUCUCUUUGAGAAAUGCUACAUUUACAACGUGUUUACAACAUUUCUAAAACGACAUUGUUUUGAAAAAAAAUUAAAAUCCCCAUUCUCUCUUCUCCUUCCCGUCCCCAAACCUCUCUCUCUUCAGGGCUCCUCUCUCCCCUUCCACUCUCUCUCCCCUCGCAUCCUACGUCCCCGAUUUGCACAGAGCCCGAAGGAGAAUCUACUCGAGAAGAGUGCAACAUCCCCUGACAAUGAUCAACAACCAAACACCAACUUUAGCUAAAUAUUUCUCAAGAAAACAAGAAUCAAAAUUCACAUUUCUUUUGUCAGAAAUUAAGUGAUAAACUUCCACUAACAUCCAAACCAAACCCAAUUACAUUUUCCCCAAACUUAACAUCUAAUUAGGCUGUCCAAAACCCGACCGACCCGACCGAAAAAAUACCUUCGGGUGAGUUUAAUCGGUCGAGUGUCGGGUUAGGAUUAAAAAAAAAUAAACCCGAAAAAAGUCGAGGUGGGUGGCGGGUGAAGUAAAUUUUAAAUCGGAGUGUUGACCCGACCCGACUACAAAAAAAUAAUAAAAUCUUAUUUUUUUCAAAUUUAUGUAAUGCUUUCCUAUAUAUUUUUUCUAUUAUUUUGUGUUGAAAAUGGAUCAUUGUCUCUGUAUAUUUUUACUUUCCACUCGUCGCCAUUUCAAUGUCUCAAUUGUUCCUCUCGUUCUCCUUAUAAAUAUGUACAUAAUGUCUCAAUUUCACUUCCCGACCCGACCCGACCCGACUUGAUAGUCGGGUCAGGUUCGGGUGAGUUUUUUCCAAUUCGAUUUUUAUCGGGUCGGGUAGGACCCGACCUGAACCCGAACAAACCCGCCCCAUGUACAGCCCUACAUCUAAUUACCACAUUAAAACUACCUAAACCCAAACAAAUCCAACCCAAGAACAUAAAAAAUAUCAAAACGAAGCAAAAUUCACAACAACAUCAACACCACAAACAACCUUCGAUACACGCCCAUCAAAACCCUAAAACUGUCGAACCCAUAAAUCGCGAGCCUCACGUCCCCAAACCCACCCCCAUUUACCCAGAUCCCGAAACGGCGUCGUUUCCAAAACCCUAGAGACUCUCUCAUUGAGCUUGAUCCGGGCAUCGACCGAUUGCUUCGGCUUGCUGGUCUGCUCCUCCGACAUCAUCUCGAAGAGAGUCGGGCUCUGACAGAUCGGGGACGUAGGACGGCGGAGGGGAGAGAGGAGUCCUGGAGAGAGAGAGAGUUGGGUACGGGAAGGAGGAGAGAGAUGGAGAUUUUAAUUUUUUUCCAAAACGGUGGCGUUUUAGAAAUGUUGUAAACAUGUUGUAAAUGUAGCAUUCCUCGAUCUCUUUUCAUUGUUUAUUCGUAUCUUUUUUUAUCGGUCAAUUUCUACCAUGUGACCAAUCUAGGCUUGCCAUUUUCAGUACAAAUAAAAGAAUUAUGUUGUCCAAUCAUAUCUAACACAUUUAAUAUAUAGUAUAAUAGAUAAAAUGACAAGGGUCAGACAAAUCUAUGUUGUCCAUUUUUCUCACCCGUCACUCUUGUUCAAGCGCAAAUGCUAUCAUCACAUUCGUUCGUAAUCUAUUUUACUUAUUAAUAAAGUGUAUCUACCUUAUUAAUGUAUAGUGUAAUAGAU